AGUGAACGCUGGCGGUAGGCCUAACACAUGCAAGUCGAACGGCAGCACAGUAAGAGCUUGCUCUUACGGGUGGCGAGUGGCGGACGGGUGAGGAAUACAUCGGAAUCUACUUUUUCGUGGGGGAUAACGUAGGGAAACUUACGCUAAUACCGCAUACGACCUACGGGUGAAAGCAGGGGAUCUUCGGACCUUGCGCGAAUGAAUGAGCCGAUGUCGGAUUAGCUAGUUGGCGGGGUAAAGGCCCACCAAGGCGACGAUCCGUAGCUGGUCUGAGAGGAGGAUCGGCGACACUGGAACUGAGACACGGUCCAGACUCCUACGGGAGGCAGCAGUGGGGAAUAUUGGACAAUGGGCGCAAGCCUGGUCCAGCCAUACCGCGUGGGUGAAGAAGGCCUUCGGGUUGUAAAGCCCUUUUGUGGGGAAAGAAAAGCAGCAGGUUAAUACCCCGCUGUUCUGACGGUACCCAAAGAAUAAGCACCGGCUAACUUCGUG
rnacentral:rRNA from 1 species